GACGAACGCUGGCGGCGUGCUUAACACAUGCAAGUCGUACGGUAAGGCCCUUUCGGGGGUACACGAGUGGCGAACGGGGGAGUAACGCGUGAGUAACCUGCCCACAACUUUGGGAUAACGCUAGGAAACUGGUGCUAAUACUGGAUAUGUGCUCCUGCUGCAUGGUGGGGGUUGGAAAGCUCCGGCGGUUGUGGAUGGACUCGCGGCCUAUCAGCUUGUUGGUGGGGUAGUGGCCUACCAAGGCGGCGACGGGUAGCCGGCCUGAGAGGGUGACCGGCCACAUUGGGACUGGGAUACGGCCCAGACUCCGACGGGAGGCAGCAGUGGGGAAGAUUGCACAAUGGGCGCAAGCCUGAUGCAGCAACGCCGCGUGCGGGAGGACGGCCUUCGGGUUGUAAACCGCUCUCAGCAGGGACGAAGCUUUUUGUGACGGUACCUGCAGAAGAAGCACCGGCUAACUACGUG
rnacentral:rRNA from 1 species